rnacentral:rRNA from 1 species
GGUCAGAUGAACGCUGGCGGCGUGCUUAACACAUGCAAGUCGAACGCGAAAGGGACUUCGGUCCUGAGUAAAGUGGCGCACGGGUGAGUAACGCGUGGAUAAUCUGCCCUUAUGAUCGGGAUAACAGUUGGAAACGGCUGCUAAUACCGGAUACGCUCAAAAUGAACUUUUUGAGGAAAGAUGGCCUCUGCUUGCAUGCUAUCACGUAAGGAUGAGUCCGCGUCCCAUUAGCUUGUUGGCGGGUAACGGCCCACCAAGGCAACGAUGGGUAGCCGAUUUGAGAGGAUGAUCGGCCACACUGGAACUGAAACACGGUCCAGACUCCUACGGGAGGCAGCAGUGGGGAAUAUUGCGCAAUGGGCGAAAGCCUGACGCAGCGACGCCGCGUGAGGGAUGAAGGUUUUCGGAUCGUAAACCUCUGUCAGAAGGGAAGAAACUACGUUGUGCUAAUCAGCAGCGUACUGACGGUACCUUCAAAGGAAGCACCGGCUAACUCCGUGCCAGCCGCGGC